rnacentral:rRNA from 1 species
AUUGAACGCUGGCGGCAGGCCUAACACAUGCAAGUCGAACGAGUGGCGGACGGGUGAGUAAUGUCUGGGAAACUGCCUGAUGGAGGGGGAUAACUACUGGAAACGGUAGCUAAUACCGCAUUGCAUCAGAUGUGCCGCGAUGGGAUUAGCUUGUUGGUGGGGUAACGGGUUACCAGGGCGACGAUCCCUAGCUGGUCUGAGCGGAUGACCAGCCACACUGUAACUGAGACACGUUCCAGACUCCGACGGGAGGCAGCAGGGGGUAAUAUUGCACAAUGGGCGCAAGCCUGAUGCAGCCAUGCCGCGUGUAUGAAGAGGGCCUUCGGGUUGUAAGGUACUUUCAGCGGGGAUGCGUUACCCGCAGAAGAAGCACCGGCUAACUCCGUGCCAGCCGCCGCGGUAAUAC